GCAGAGAGAAUAAGGAGAUAGAGAGAGAGAAAGGAGGGAAAGUCAGAGGAAGAGAGGACAGGGGCAGGCUUUGCCUUUUCUGGUAGUUCUAGCUGUUGAGAGCGCAAGCAGGAAUUCUUUGUCCUGCGCCACUCGUGAGAUAUAAACCAGACGAAAGAGCUCCAAGGGUGUGUGAGGAAAGGGAGCAGUUCAUGGACUAAGCAUCAUCGAACCUAAGCCCGAACGUGAGUGCUGACCAUUUCCGGACCAGUCAUGGACGAGGACUUCGAACUCCGACGGGAGCUGAGACGGCAGAAACGAGAGGAGAUGCGGCAGGAGGCUGAGAGGAUGAGCAUGAACAAUGACAAUGACGAGGAGGCAGCCCGAGAACGCAGACGCAAGGCUCGCCAGGAGCGGCUGCGCAACAAGGAAGACGAGGAGUCGUCCAGCAUGGCGACGGAGAGCACAGAGCACAACGACACAACCAGCACAAAUGAGACAGAAACGACGACCAGCUCACAGAGAUUGAUCGCUGCCGCUUCCGAAGAUGACCAAGCGCUCCUGGAGCGGAUUGCCAAGCGGGAGGAGCGCAGGCAACGCAGGAUGAAGGAGGCCCUUGAGAGACAGAAGGAGAUUGACCCCACCAUCACCAACAAUGUAGAGAACAGUGAGGAAGAGAAGUCACAUGGACGCAGUGAACACGAACAGGUGUUCGACAUUAACAGCAAGCCGCCUGAGCCUGACAGCUGGAAGGAGAAAGAGGUGAAAAAGAAAGAAGAGGAGAGGGAAGAGGAGAAACAGGAAGUGACAGUGGCUGUCCUGGAGGAGAAAGAAACAGAGCCAGAGAAGGAUGAGGAGAAGGAGGAGGUGACACAGAAGAGUGCAGGGUCUGUCCUGGGAGAGGAGAAAUCAGAGGCACCUGAAAAGGAGACACAGGAGCAGGUUGAAGAACAUCUUAUCAAUUCAAAUGUAACUGUAGAAAUACCCAUGGUGCCCAGCACUGACCUGGAAGAAAGGCCAUCAACAGAAAAAGAAGACAAAAUAAUAAUUUCAGAGACAGCUAUCGAAGAGAAGACUGCUUCUUCAAAAGCUCAGUUUGAUGAAGAACCUGUGAUAUCAACAAAAGAACUGAAAGAAGUAACAGAAGAUGAAAAACCAGUAGUGCCAAUGGAGGCCAAAGAAAAAGACAUACCCUUAAAGAAAGAAGAAGAAGAGGUGGAGGAGAAGCCAGUGAUAUCAAAGAAAGAUGAGAAACCAGUGAUAUCAAUGAAAAAAGAGGAAGAGAAGCCAGUGAUAUCAAAGAAAGAAGAGCAAGGGAAGCCAGUGAUAUCAAUAAAAAAAGUAGAAGAGAAACCAGUGGUAUCAAAGAAAGAAGAGGAAAAGAAACCUGUGACCUCAAAGAAAGAAGAAAAUAAACCAGUGAUAUCAAAGAAAGAAGAAGAAAAGAAACCAGUGAUAUCAAAGAGAGAAGAAGAAAAGAAACCAGUGAUAUCAAAGAGAGAAGAAGAAAAGAAACCUGAGAUAUCAAAGAAAGAAGAAAAGAAACCAGUGAUAUCAAAGAAAGAAGAAGAAAAGAAACCUGUCAUGUCAAAGAAAGAAGACGAAAAGAAACCUGUGAUAUCAAAGAAAGGGUUUGAAGAAAAACCUGCCACAUUAAAGAAAGACGCUGAGAAAAAGACUGAGGGAAAACUGGGAAUACCAAAGAAAAAAGUUGAGGACAACCCCGUUACACCAAAAAAAGAGGAGGUCGCAGAGGAGAAACUGAAACGGCCUUUUGUCAAGGAACCAGUGACAGAAAAGAAGACAAACAAGGAGCCAGAGUCCCUUCAGCGAAAGAAGGACUUCCCCCCCCAAGCCAAGCAGCAGAAUGGCGCCUCGCGGCAGGAGGCACCGGCCGCAUGCAAGCUCAAGAAGCCCGAAUGGCUCCAGAGCCGCAAGGCCGAACCAGCCGAAAAGGGCAGUGUGUCUCAGAAGGCGGAGGAUCUGAAGCGGCGUCGCGACGAGGCCGAGAGUAGCGAGUUUGAGAAGAUGCGGCAGAAGCAGCAGGAGGCCGAGGCCGAGCUGGAAAACCUGAGGCGCAAGAGGGAGGAGAGAAAGAAGGUGCUGGAAGAGGAGGAGAAGCUGAAGAAGCAGGAGCAGGAGGAGAAGAAGGCCAAGGAGGAGGAGGAGAAGAGGAGGAUGAAGGAAGAAAUUGAGAAGCGGCGCGCAGAGGCGGCGGAGAAGCGGCAGAAGGUGGAAGGAUCCACUGAAGGAGGCAGCAAGAAGCCCUUCACAUGUGUGAGCCCUAAGGGAUCCUCUCUCAAGAUUGGUGAAAGGGCAGAGUUUCUAAAUAAGUCAGCGCAGAAGAGUGCUGUGAAGGUGUCUCACACACCCAUUGUGACCAAGAUUGGCAACAAACUGGAGCAGUACAACACAGCCAUUCAGACUAACAAGGAUGUCAAGUCUCCUAAGUCUCCAGCUGCGGACUUGCCUGUGGCCCCAGAUGGGAUCCGCAACAUUAAGAGCAUGUGGGAGCGGGGAAACGUGUCUGGCACACCAGAGGGGCCCGGGGCCCCCAACAAGGAAACAGCUGCCAUGAAGAUAGGCGUCACUGGCCGCAUCAACGACUGGCGGUGUAAGACUCCAGAGCCCGGAAAAGCAGCUGGGGGGGCGUCUGCGGACCUAAAGCCUGGUGAUGUCACCAACAAGCGUGGCCUGUGGGAGAACAAGAAUGAGUGUGCUACAAAGCCUUCUCAAAGUUAGUUCACCUCACCUUAAAACUGGGAUGAAAGGAUGAGGUGACCGUUGGACAGAAGAGUAAAUCUGUCACUAAUGCAGGAGUGGGACACUGACGACACCGGAACAGCUAAAAAUGGCUGGACCCAACAAUAUGCAAGGCCCUCUUCCUUGCUUUGUACAUUUUGAAUAUCAAAAAAGUUGUUGCUUCUUUUUGCUGUUUUAUUUUAAAGUUAAACCCAGGGGGAGUGGGGCAGAAACUAAAGAGAAUGAGAUUUAUAGUAGCACAGAAGCCUGGCCUGUUUAUCUGUUUGCCUCUCUAACACACCUGUUUCACACAUACCUGUGUGGCUACACUGUGACAUUUCAGCAAAGUGUCCUUUUCCGACAUUUACCACCAGCUUCUGAACAUGAUUAUACUUUGCACAAACAGUUCUGUCCAGGGUCUGUCCCAGAAGAGUCACAGGAUAUUUUGUAACAAAAAAGAGAAAUUCCCUCUGCUGCCACACCAUCCAGGUUCAUUUCACUCUUCCAGGAAAGUGCCUGAUACGGUAUUUUGUGUUAGCCGCUAGCAGUAGUGAUUAGAAUUUCAGUCUGAUGUUCACAGUAGGAAUACAAACUGCACACAUUGCUUAGAUUUGGAUCUCUGCUUAUUUUUGCUUGCUGAUAACAUUUACCAGUAAAAUAGUGGAUUAAUUUCUGCAUAUAUACAUUAAGGAGCUGCUUAAAGCACCACUUUAUGUGUGAUUCUUGACACAUGUAGUAUUCUUAUCACCAGCUAUUAAAGAAAGCAUUUAGGGGUAAAAUAUGUUGUAGUUAUGUUUGUUCCGCACCUGGGAGGCAGUGAUAGUGGGUGUUAAACCUUAUUGUUCAUCUAGUCCCAUUUAUCCUUUCGCUCUUAGUGUUGGCACGCUGGGUUUCAGUCACGGUAAAUAAAAAAGUGUGACAGCAGCGAGAUUGGCUGAGGUGGCACCCGGCAGGUUCCUCCUGGUGCUCCUCCGCUGUUUGACGACGCUCGGUACCAGCAAAGGCCGACACUGAAACGGGGGAGAGAUCCCGCUGCAGCACAGUCACGGUCCUGAGGGAUGAUAACUGCACUGUGGCCUUUCGUUUCUGCUAUUAACGCAUAAAUUACCGUCAAGAACACUACAUAUGGAGUCCAGGGAAGAAGACGUGUCCCUCAGACACGAUGAGAGUAAGGCCCAAGGGUGUACACUGUCCAGGUAGCCUGCCACUAAGGCGAAGUUAAAGCCUGUAUUAUGGCGAACGAUCUUAUUCACCACAGCCUCAACUUCCAAAUCGGAAAGGAGCAUCAAAGCAUAAUGUGGUUUACAUGCAUUAUGAAGUUUUCUGUUCUGGUAAUGUAAGACUCUUUUUUAUUGUUGUUCUAUUGUGUCAAAAUAAUGCAGAAUAGAAUGCAUUGAAUAGUUAAAGAAAGAGCGGAAUGAAAAACGAUCACUCAUAUCACCUUUGGCUGUAAACCAGAUGAAAUGAUAGAUGUGCUUUUGUGAGCACAGAUGCAAUUUGGUUAAGCACUUGACUGUCUUGCUCAGGAUCAUGUCGCAGGUGUGAAGUGCGACGUUGAGGGAGUGACAUUGCGAAUCGGACACAAACCACAAUGGUGUUCGUACACAACCCUAGGAGCUGAAACCCAAAUUAGACCCAUCCGUGUCACUGGGCUCUGUCUCAUAUUACUGUGGUAUUCCAAAGGCUUGGCCGGUAAAUCCAGGCCGUAUAACACUUUAUUAUUCUUUAUUGGAAGGUCAGUACUGCUGGUUUGGGCCCUGCUCACUUUAUUUUUAAGCUAACAGUCAUGGUAAUACUCCAUCAGACCAUGCUGUCAGGUUCUCAAUAAAGUGUCUGAUUUCCCAAUAGAAUUGCUUGGAAAUCUGUUCUUCUCUUUUUCUGACAAUGAAAGUUGUUGGUGAAAUAAAUUCCCCUAAACUGUGUUUGGCAAUUUUCGUCUCCUGUUAAUGUUUCAGUUUUUCUAAACACACCUGUGCAUUGUAUUGGAAUUAAACGGAGCCCUCAAAAGCAACUGCCAUCAAUCUACAGCUAUUAAAGGUUUUGUUUGUUGUGAUGAAUAGCUUUACAACAUGACUGAUUUUUAAACAAUGUGCAAAUGACUCUGCAAUAAAGAGGUACCUGUUCAAAGGUG